AAUAUAAAAAAGGGUCAAAUAUCGUUUUUUCUUUUCUUUAAAACAUGUGUAAGGAUCCGUUAUUUUUGAAGAACGUUUCGAGAUCCAUUCUUCUUGCUCGACUUCUAUGUGAUGCCGGUCACAGGAAACAAGCAGUAAGCUGGACGAGACCAGAAAUGAAAAGUCCUCCAUUUUCUUUCUUUGUUUCUGCGGGUUACACCAUUCCGUCUUGGAAAGAGGAAACAUAAAAACUCUAU
rnacentral:ribozyme from 16 species